rnacentral:rRNA from 2 species
UUGGUGGGGUAAAGGCCCACCAAGGCGACGAUCUGUAGCGGGUCUGAGAGGACGAUCCGCCACACUGGGACUGAGACACGGCCCAGACCCCUACGGGAGGCAGCAGUGGGGAAUCUUGGACAAUGGGCGCAAGCCUGAUCCAGCAAUGCCGCGUGGGUGAAGAAGGCCUUCGGGUUGUAAAGCCCUUUCGGCGGGGAAGAAAUCGGUCAGGCGAAUAGUCUGGCUGGAUGACGGUACCCGCAGAAGAAGCACCGGCUAACUACGUGCCAGCAGCCGCGGUAAUACGUAGGGUGCGAGCGUUAAUCGGAAUUACUGGGCGUAAAGGGUGCGCAGGCGGUUCUGUAAGACCGGUGUGAAAUCCCCGGGCUCAACCUGGGAAUUGCGCUGGUGACUGCAGGGCUAGAGUACGGUAGAGGGGGGUGGAAUUCCUGGUGUAGCAGUGAAAUGCGUAGAGAUCAGGAGGAACACCGAUGGCGAAGGCAGCCCCCUGGGCCUGUACUGACGCUCAUGCACGAAAGCGUGGGGAGCAAACAGGAUUAGAUACCCUGGUAGUCCACGCCCUAAACGAUGAGAACUAGCCGUCUGGAGUCUUCGUGCUCUGGGUGGCGCAGCUAACGCGUGAAGUUCUCCGCCUGGGGAGUACGGCCGCAAGGUUAAACUCAAAGAAAUUGACGGGGACCCGCACAAGCGGUGGAUGAUGUGGAUUAAUU